AGACAAAAGAAGUCUAGAUAGUGAGAAGAGGUGAAAGACUGAUAAAAGUGAGAAGAAAUUUUAAAAGGAAAGCAGAAACCAUGAUUGGAUGAUUUCCUUCUGAUGUCAUAAUUACUCUACUCAACAAUAAAUGUAGAAAUUAGAAAAGACCUACCAGGUAAAUGUGUAAAAUAGACCAUCCAUACCUUCUUAUCAGCGUAGGAUAUGCCUCCUAUCAUGCUAGCAUUCUAGUUGGAACCUUGACACUGCUUUUCUGUACUAAUUAUUGCCAAUAUAUUUCUACUGGCAUAAAAACAGACACACAGGACAAUGGAGCAGAAUGGAGAUCUCAGACAUAAAUCUACACAUUUACAAACAACUCAUCUCUGACAAAGGCAUCAAGAACAUACACUGGGCAAAGAACAGUCUUUUCAAUAAAUAAUCCUGGGAAAACUGAAUAACUAAAUGAAGAAGGAUAAAAUUAAACCCCUCUUACCAUAUACAAAAAUCAAAUCGAAUAAAAAUAGAUUAAAGACUUGAAUCUAAGACCUGAAACUAUGAAGUUACUAAAAGAAAGCAUAGGAGAAAUGCUCCAGGACAUUGGUCCGGGCAGAUUUUUUUGCGUAAGACCUCAGAAGCACAGGCAACAAAGGCAAAAAUAGACAAUGGGAUUAUAUCAAGCUAAAAAGCCUCAAGCAAAGGAAAUAAUCAACAAAGUGAAGUGCCAACCACAGAAUGGGACAAAAUAUUUUCAAACUAUCCAUCUGAUAAAGGAGUAACAACUGCAAUAUAUAAAAAGCUCAAACAACUCAAUAAUAAUCAAAAAAUCUGAUUGAAAAAUGGGCUACUGAAGAGGCUGAGGUAGGAGGAUUUCUUAAUCCCAGGAGUUUGAGGUUACAGUGAGCUAUGAUUAAGCCACUGCCCUUUAUCUUGGGUGACACAGCAAGACCUUGCUUCUAAAAAAAUUGUUAAAAAUAUAUAAAUAGAUACAAUUUUUUAAAAAAAUGGGCAAAAGAUCUGAACAGAUACUUCUCAAAAGAAGACAUUCAAAAGGCCAAUAGGAAGAUGAAAAAAUGUUCAAUAUCACUAAUCAUCAAGCAAAUGCAAAUCAAAACCACAAUGCAAUAUCAGCUCAUGUUGGUUGAAAUGGCUUGUAUCAAAAAGACAGGCAAUAACAGAUGCUGGCAAAGAUGUGGAGAAAGGGGAACACUAGUACACUGUUGGUGGGAAUUUACAUUAAUAAAGCCACUAUGGAGAACUGUAUGGAGGUUCCUCAAAAAAGUAAAACUAGAGCUACCAUGUGGUCCAGCAAUUUCACUACUGGAUAUAUAUCCAAAAUAAAGGAAAUCAAUGUAUCAAAGACAUCUCUACAUGCCCAUGUUUAUUGCAGCACUAUUCACAAUAGCCAAAAUAUGGAAUCAACAUAAGUGGUCAUCAACAAACGAACAGAUUUUAAAAGUAAUAUAUAUACAUCAUGGACUACUACUCAGACACAAAGAAGAAUGAAAUUCUGUCAUUUGCAGCAACAUAAGUGGUGCUGGCCAUUUCGCUUAACGUAAUGAACAUAGGCCAUUAUGUUAAAUGGAAUGAGCUAAGCACAGAAAGGCAAAUAUCGCAUGUUGUCACUCAUAUGUGGGCGGUGAAAAAGUGGAUCUCAUGAAGAUAGAAAGUAAAUUGGUGGUUGCUAGAGGCCAGCAAGGGGAGUGGGAAGAGGAGAUGAAGAAAAGCAAACAUAAAUGUAUUUAUCACCACUAAACUGGCCUCUAAAAAUGUACAGAUGGUAAAUUAUAUAUAUAUACAUUUUUAUCUCAAUAAAAAAAUUAAAAAAAUUCUGUUGUGUGUUUAUAGGGCAUAUGUACAAGACUUUCUCUAGGGUUGUAUCAGUUUUCUUUUUUUUUAUUAUUAUACUUUAAG
rnacentral:lncRNA from 1 species